AUGGGGCUCACCAAUAAGCUGAUACGAAUGCUGUCCUACUGAGCAGAUGUGUCGUCCUGUAAAUCAGUACCUGCAUCGUGAAAUGCAGGCCCCCGAGCAAAUAAAGGGGACGUCAGCACAUUGAAUGUACUGGUAUGUAAAGCAACUGAAAGAAAUAACAUGGGACAUGGAAUAACAUGAUAAGAACUGAAACUGAAAACCUGGACAUGAAUAUGUGCAUGAGCAUGAGUACAUAUAUAUAUAAGUAAAACAUGAUAAGUAGGGAGAGCAUUUCAUAAACCGACCAUGUGAUAUCACCACGUGGAUACGUGGAGUCUGGUACCUCGCCGGACCAGCAGAGCCCCCAUACCUUGCCAGGGUAUAAGGUGGUAACGUGCCUGAUGGAUCCAUUCAGUGUAAAAUUAAGGUAUCGUCCUAACUGGGCGGAGCGAUCCUUGUCCUACGGUGGCUACGUAGUUUCAGGCUAUCUGAGCCUUCUCGGUAAUUCAUGCAACUCCCAAAAACAUGAACAUAAUAUAGUUGCCUAAGAAGCCCAUGAUUUUCGUGAAAUAACUUGUAAUCAUGAUUUCACGAAGUAACUUGUAACAUAGCUUGUAUCAUGGUUUCAUGAGAUAACUUGUAGCAUGGUUUCAUGAAAUAACUUGUAUUUAGCAUGAAUAUUUCUUGUAUCAUGGCAUGAAAGUAAUUAUAUGAUUUAAUUGCAUGAAAACUUUUAGACAUAUAGGAUAUUCAUGAAAUAAUCAUUCUUAGUCAAAAACAUGCAUGCAAGAACCCAUGGAAUACAAAAUAUGGGUUUUCAUGGAUUACGGACAGAUUCUCAAUAAUCAUAAUGAGUAUCAAGAACACAAUGAUAGAAUAAUAGCAAUUCAAACAUAAUAUAGUCAUAGACAUGGACCUAGGGUUAUCAUGAGCAUAGUAUAGAAUAGAAACCCUAGUUUUGUAAAGUUUCAUACUUUAUGGAUUAGGAGGCGUGGGGAAGAACAAUGAUGUUCCCACACGUAGAUAGUAACUCUACAUACCUGGUAAUGCUCCAAAAUUGAAUUAAAGAUUUUAACUUUGAAGAAGAUUUCCAAAAUCUUGAAUUCUUGAACCUUGAGAUGGGUUUUCUUGAAAACCCUAGUUUAGGAACAAUGAUUUCUUGCUUAGAUUAUUAAAGUAUAUGUUAGAAUUGAGUUGGAAGGGUUUGGAUUGACUUACCUUGAUGUUUUGGAUUGUUGCUAGGGCUUGGAAUUGUGAAUAAUGAAAUAAAAGAACUCAAGGCUUGAAUUUAUACAAAAGUGAGGCGGAAGUUUUAUGGACAUAUUAUACGGUCCGUAUAAAGUUAUACGGUCCGUAUAAUAUGACCAUAUUUUAUCAUGGAUGAACAGAACGUCGAUUUCAAGCGUCAUGAAGUACGGACGAGUUAUACGAUCCGUAUAAAAUUAUAUGGGCCGUAUAACAAGUUCGUAUAACAUGACCAGUGAACGGACUGCUCUGUAAUCCUUCAGUAAAAUGGUCAUAACUUUUUGUACAGAUGUCCUCUUGACCCCCAUAAUAUACCGUUGGAAAGGUAUUUCAAAGGUCUACAACUUUCAAGCAGGAAGUUUUCACAAAUUCCUAACGCAAGUACCCGAAAACAGGCCAUAAGUACAGACUGUUCUAAACUUAGACGAAUUUAGAAGGCCUUAAGAACUUCACUUUUUGGUUUGACUUCAAAACGACUGUUUAUCACCCGAGUUCAUCCCAAAUAGAUUCGUAUAGCUAAAAUAUCACCUUUAUACUAGAUUCAUAAAUUUAUACCUAAUUCGGAUUUACGGGAUGUUACACGUGGAAUGGAACAUUCAUAUUAUUUUAUUGACAUGUUGAUAUAAUGUUAAAAAUAAGAUAUUUAUGUAAGCCAUGAUAUUUUAAUACUAUGCUCGCAGGAUUUAUGAAGGCACAUUUUAAUUCACUAUACAAGAAACUUCACUUCGACAUCAUCCCAAAGCUAAGGUUGAAAAAUCUAAAAGGUUAUUUUCUCCGUAUGAAGUCAAUAAAACCUCCUAAAUAGAAAUGCUCUACUUUGACCAAUUUUUGUAGUCAAAGGCAUUUAAAAGUCAGCAAAUUGUUCAAUUUUUUUCCUUUUCAUGUUCCUGCUAAGGUAUUCGUUUACCUAUUCGAAACUUAAUUAUUCCGUUGCUUUCUAGCUGGAAGCUUCUAAGGGGAGCUCAAUUUGGAGGAAAAGAUGCAGAAAGAAUGACUAAAAUGAAAUAGAAGUUCCAAGUAAGGCAGCAUUAAUGUGAAAAAAUCACUUUUGGUGUUCUUGUCGAUUGUUUAACCCAAUGCAUUUAUCCAAAGUUGACAGGAGAAGAAGUUUUGAUUCAUAAGAUACCCCUAUAAUACAUUUCUGGAGCUAAAGCUAUGGACAACAUAAAGACUUCUCAUUAUAUUUCACUCCUACUUUGAGACAAAUAAAAGAAAAAGGAAGUUUAUAUAGCAUAGCCUUGCCCCCUUUACUAUUUUAGAAAGUAUUAAUGUUUUGCUUGUCUAUUUCCCCUCUCAAGUCACAAUCCCAUCUUUGCUAUACUUCAAGACAAAGAGAUGUAGAGUUGAAUUACCCGGUGCUACAUUAUUUCAUCAUGUACUAAUUUAUAGUGAAGAAGCAAUCAACAGAGGUGUGAAAAAGAAAUCUGCAUGGAAAAGUGAAAGCUACAUAAUUGCUCACAGUUCAAUGAUCAAGAAAUAUUUUUAGCAGCCACUAUUUUCCUUUGGAGCUCUCUUUACUUUGAUCUUUCUUAGCAUUUUUAAUACUGUAAUUCUCAGCUGAAGGUUGUGGUCAUUUGCAAUUUUCCUCCAAAGCUCAAUGAUGGCGGGGCAUUUUCUCUUGGUUAUUGCUCAAAAUUACAACUGUUAAUGACUGCUAUGUGUUAUGAGUUGUUGAAGCAUUUAGAUUUAUUUUGCUGUGUCAAAUGAAGAUAUCAAUGGAUGAACUGUAACUUUUUGGUGAUAUUUAUGCAUUAUAAAUUUGAUGAUGAA